AUUGAACGCUGGCGGCAGGCCUAACACAUGCAAGUCGAGCGGAGCGGCGGACGGGUGAGUAAUGCCUAGGAAUCUGCCUGGGUGAGGGGGAUAACGUCCGGAGACGGGCGCUAAUACCGCAUACUAUCAGAUGAGCCUAGGUCGGAGUAGCUGGUUGGUGGGGGAAAGGCCUACUAGGGCGACGAUCGGUAACGGGCCUGAGAGGAUGAUCAGCCAAACUGGAACUGAGACACGGUCCAGACUCCGACGGGAGGCAGCAGUGGGGAAUAUUGGACAAUGGGGGAAAGCCUGCUCCAGCACUGCCGCGGGUGUGAAGAAGGUCUUCGGAUUGAAAAGCACUUUAAGUUGGGAGGCGUUACCAACAGAAUAAGCACCGGCUAACUACGUGCCAGCAGCCGCGGUAAUUC
rnacentral:rRNA from 1 species